GCUUCUUCCUACUUUCACUUUUUCAAAACUGGCUCUUCUUUUUACUUUUUAUUCUUGGCCAAAUGCUGCAGAAAAAACGCUCUUUGAAAGGCUCCUGGGAGAUCUUAGGCAGCCGGUAGAACUAGAGGCUCAACCGAGAAUAAUUGAAAACACAGGUCCUGAGGAUUCCUGCAGCCCCCACAGGGUGAGGGGAGGGACCAGCCCUUUUUGCUCUGCUCUCCCCCUUUCUGUUCCCACUAUUCUAUUGGUAGCAAUGUCCUCCACUGAGGAUGUCUUCACAGGGCCCCCAGGUCUGAGGGGUCAUACUUCAGAGGCCUCUGACUGCGUGGGGGCCAGCCGCAGCCCUGCUGAGGGUGAGAAGCAGGUCCGCCUCCUCAGGACUGACUCAGAAGUUCUGAGAGCCUGGCUCAUUUUUGCAUACCAGCAUCUAGCACAGAAUCUGGCACAUGGUCAGCACUGAAUAAAUAUUAUCAAUGAAUGAAGACAUGAAUGAACAAAUGAAUGACUUCUACUGGGAAAAAGGGUGCUUGCUGGGAAGACAAUAUAUGAGCUUGAAGUCCUGGUGCCAUAAAUCUAUUGAAGCAGAACGCUGGAAGCAGAAUGUGGGCUGUGCUCCAAGGAGCUGUGCCACCAACCCCCUAUGUAAACCCUCCUACUCACCCGGGGACAGGGACCCCAGAAUGGGGUGUGCAGCCCUGGGGUGGGCAAACACAGGGACGUGCUCUUGAUGACGACUGCCCAGGGAUGGGACGAACGGAGGGCAUCCAUGUCCUUGGCCCUACGGGGUGGAAGAGAACAGAAGGCAAGAUAACCCACUUCAAAAGCGGCUCCUUUCAAAGCAGUUGUGGCUGUGUACUGGGGGCUGCUUUAAAUGGGUCAGCCUUCAUAUGUGCUUGGGUCUCCAACUUGUCGAAACUUGGCUGUUAAACAUCUCUAUUUUGUUUUCAUUAGCUUGUAAGCCAUGGCGAUGGGGGACCUGCCUAGUUUUCUGAACCAGCAUGUGUGCCCAGAGUCUAAUAAACAGCAGGUGCCUCCAAUAAA